rnacentral:rRNA from 1 species
GACGGAGGGUGCUAGCGUUGUUCGGAAUUACUGGGCGUAAAGGGCUCGUAGGCGGCCAACUAAGUCGGAUGUGAAAUCCCCAGGCUCAACCUGGGAACUGCACCCGAUACUGGAUGGCUUGAAUCCGGGAGAGGGAUGCAGAAUUCCAGGUGUAGCGGUGAAAUGCGUAGAUAUCUGGAGGAAUACCGGUGGCGAAGGCGGCAUCCUGGACCGGCAUUGACGCUGAGGAGCGAAAGCUAGGGGAGCAAACGGG